UACGUAGGGGGCAAGCGUUGUCCGGAUUUACUGGGUGUAAAGGGCGCGCAGGUGGGUUAACAAGUCAGAGGUGAAAUCCUACAGCUUAACUGUAGAACUGCCUUUGAAACUGUUAAUCUUGAGUACGGAAGAGAGAGACGGAAUUCCAGGUGUAGUGGUGAAAUACGUAGAUAUCUGGAAGAACACCAGUUGCGAAGGCGGUCUCUUGGUCCGUUACUGACACUCAGGCGCGAAAGCGUGGGGAGCAAACAGG
rnacentral:rRNA from 1 species